rnacentral:rRNA from 1 species
GAAAGCGUGGGGAGCAAAACAGGAUUAGAUACCCUGGUAGUCCACGCCGUAAACGAUGUCGACUUGGAGGUUGUGCCCUUGAGGCGUGGCUUCCGGAGCUAACGCGUUAAGUCGACCGCCUGGGGAGUACGGCCGCAAGGUUAAAACUCAAAUGAAUUGACGGGGGCCCGCACAAGCGGUGGAGCAUGUGGUUUAAUUCGAUGCAACGCGAAGAACCUUACCUACUCUUGACAUCCAGAGAACUUAGCAGAGAUGCUUUGGUGCCUUCGGGAACUCUGAGACAGGUGCUGCAUGGCUGUCGUCAGCUCGUGUUGUGAAAUGUUGGGUUAAGUCCCGCAACGAGCGCAACCCUUAUCCUUUGUUGCCAGCGAUUCGGCCGGGAACUCAAAGGAGACUGCCAGUGAUAAACUGGAGGAAGGUGGGGAUGACGUCAAGUCAUCAUGGCCCUUACGAGUAGGGCUACACACGUGCUACAAUGGCAUAUACAAAGAGAAGCGACCUCGCGAGAGCAAGCGGACCUCAUAAAGUAUGUCGUAGUCCGGAUUGGAGUCUGCAACUCGACUCCAUGAAGUCGGAAUCGCUAGUAAUCGUAGAUCAGAAUGCUACGGUGAAUACGUUCCCGGGCCUUGUACACACCGCCCGUCACACCAUGGGAGUGGGUUGCAAAAGAAGUAGGUAGCU